ACACCGUAAUUCUAAUAAUCUUUUUUCUACCUGUGAUUAAAAUGAAAGUAGACACGACAGGACAAGAACGCUCGGAUCGUAACGCUCAGAUAAUUGUUUAUUUUUUGUUUUAGAUUGAAAUUGCUUUAAUUGUAUGUCCUUCAACUGACCGCCGAAACAAAACAUCAAUUCAGCAUCUCAAACAAGCGGAUUUAUUGGUAUCAGUUCAAGUUCGUAUGUAAUGGGUUCACAAUGGAAUUUCUUGUGGUAAUUUUCCAAUAGGUAAUAAAAAUGUAAAUAACUGGUCGAAACAAUAAAUUCCAAAGUUUUAA